rnacentral:misc_RNA from 1 species
AAAAAAAAAAAAAAAAAAAGGGACUUAGGCAGCAUUUAAGUUUCUUUCAGUUGCAUCAACUGUCAUUAAUGAGCGGACUCUUUGUGCAAAAACAAGAGGCAACACAAAAUGGGAUUCUGGAACCUCAGCAAUAAAACAUAACAUCUUGCACGUUAUCAUUGAUCAUAGGAAGCGGCUGGACUUCCCUACUCCUCCCCGUUGUACUCCUACCACCUGAAGACCCACCAUGUGAUGUUUCACCGUCUAUGUAAUAUCGAGCCCGUAAAGCAGCUAAAUGGGCAUAAUAAACAGGAGGGACUAUAGAAACAGAGCGAGUACACCUUGCAUUCAUGUAACACAGAUUGUUAGUCAGAACUUGCAACCCAUCAGCUGUGAAAUGAUUCUCAUCAUACAACACAUGGUAGUGUGUAGGUCUGCUUGUUCCCUGAAUUGCAGCAUGGCUGUUGAGGUAGAAAUCAAACUCCUUCUGAAGGCAAAUCUUAGUAUCAAUAACAGUGCCUGGCAGAACAUUGCCACUCCUGUCUGUCUGACCACGAUCAACAGGAAAAAGUCGUGUAUGAUGUCUCUUCUGCACCACAACAAAGGUCACGCGUGGAAGGUAUCCCUCCUCAAGUGAAGAACAAGCCUUUCGUAUGGCAUCCAUCUCAUGUAGCAAGACCUGGCUAAAUUGGCCCUCACUAACACCAUCUCUGUAGAAUAUAAUCCUUCCAGGUUUAAACCCAGUAGCUCUUCUGAAAGAUAUUAGUAAUUCCCUGAUCAUUCCAGAAUGAACUAAUCCCUUAUCUGGAUCAUGAUAUGAUUUAUAGAGAUCCUGGAUAAUUUCUUCACGGUGAGCCUGUGCAGAGACAAGUCCUCUAUACUUUGUUACCUCUGGCCAGUCCAUCGAAGCCACUACUGCUGCUAUCGAUGGAACAGAGUCCUCCCCAGGAGCUGGAUGAGUUACAUCAGCACCAAAAAUAAUUGUAGGAAGAUCAGUCACAAGAGGAAUUCUCCUUUGAAUAGCAUCAUUCAACACAGUAUUUCUACCACCAACCUUAACAUUGAUUUUGAGGGCAACAUUUUCAAAAUACUGUUUACUUAGCUUUGCUGCCUGCUUUGGUUGACAGCACUGAGAGACAAUUCCAUAUUCAGUCUCACAGAUUCGUUUAAUUUUCCCAUAUGAGCCACUUAAAUCAGGUAAAAUGAUUAUCAACAACUGAAGCCGUUUCUUCUCAUUUGCAAGUUUUGCAGUACACUGCUUGUGAACAUCAGCAAGAGCCCUCUCAAUUUGGCUAGGAUGAGCUGACUGUACUGGAAUAAUAGGAUUUGGGUUGAAUCCCAUUCCUUUGCUGACACACAUCUGAAUUAACUGAUAACAAAAGUCAUGAGGCAAAUUUCGGUGGACCUGCAUAGAGAAGUUCACACAUGUCCAAAAAUCCACCAUCCCACCAUUCACCAUUUUCUUGUUUAUCAUAUUCCACGCACCAUAUUGGGGAUCAACCCUUGAUUCACCCCCAGUCUCGUGAUAUUUAAGCAUAGGAGGUGGCAAUACUCGAGCAUCAACAUAUGUAAGUUCUUCUUUAACUUGAAUUCCAAAUUCAUUUGACACAAGCUCAUCUCUACUGUAACUAUUCCGCCUAACCAUCUGCUUAAUGCUAUUUUCCCGUUCAUGAGGGCGUUGACAAGUUGCUCUUAACAGUGCAGUUACUUGCCUGUCAUUCAAUUUCUUUGUGUAUCUUUGUCCUUCAACAAUCCUACAAAGCUCCAUAGGCAAAUAAAUGGGCUUUGAAUCACUCCCAGCUUGAAGGGCAGGCAAGGACGUAUAUUGGAGCCCAAUAUUGUAUCUCGCACGAAAAUACUGAACAACUGACACAUCUGAACUAUUAUCAUCAGGAGUGAAGAAUGUUUGACUCAUUGGCUUAUUGGAUACACCAGUGAUCUUGUAGCUUUUAGGAUACUCUCUGUGACGUAGCUCUACUUUUAUUCCUUUUAAGGACUUCUUCACCUUAAUGCGAUCCUGUUCAGACAAAGGCCUUGACAAAUCUCUCAACCUGAAGUAUUUAGCUACAAAGUCAGUCACCAUAAUUGGCUCAAAGAAGGAUCUGGCUGACACAUCAACAUUAAAAGACAAUCCCAUCUGGGUUGGCCGAAGGCUUUGAUAAUAACCUCUCCAAUAUUCUAUACCAUCACCAAGCUCACCCCUUGGCCCCAAAUCAGAUGAGAAAAAUGACCUCCCAACAGUUGUAUACUUUUCCGAUGGAGAUGCCCUGAGAACAAUAUCAAGAACUUGUAUGGUUUCUUGCGGAGCAUCCAUUUGUCUACCAUAUAAAAAUUGUUGCAGAUGAUGAAGGUCCGCCUUAGCUGCAAAUUUGAUUGCCACCUUAAAUUGGCGCUCCCUCGUGGUUGAACCAGAAGACCCUGCACCAUCAUUCCUCUCAACCAGCUUGACAACAAAUUCCUUAGAUUCAAAAGGCAAAGGCCCAGCGGUGUAGAGGCUUUUCCUGCCAUCAUAAGCUGGCAUUCGGUUGCCCAAGUGUGACUCACGAUACAUACUAACAAGCUGAGAUAUUAUAUACCUUUUUACCUUCUUUGAGGCUACUUCAGGAGUUAUCGUGACAUCAUAACGACAGAGAUCUCUGUCUGCGAUUUCGACCAAAAAAUGAUUAGCCUUAAUCACACACUUCUUGCCAGCAGUACCAAACCCAGGCCUAGGCGUGAAACGAACGGCCUUUGACGUCGCCGGCGGCGUCUCAGCCUUCGUCACCUGAUCUCCAGUUGUUAGCUUCUGCUCCAUCUCUAGUCUCAGCUCCUCCACCGCCGCCGAACUGGAUGCCGCCGCCUGAGACGGCGAUGCUCUCGACGAAGAAGCCAAAGCUUGAGGAGGCGUCUGACUCGGAGCAACAGACAUGAUACGAGGAUGGAAGGCAGACGCCGGAGAACGAGAUAUGGGAGGGAAGGCCGAAGGCCGUGAAGGACCAGCUUGAUUGAAAGUUGGAGCGGGAUUAUAGCCGCGGCCAGCGCGUCCGCUGCCAUCUCUUCCACCUCUACCGCCACCACCACCGCGCUGGAACGACGGAGAUGGAGAUGAUGAUUGCUGGUCUCGGCGAGAAUCCUGGCGGCGACCACCGCCACGGCGAGACAUUGUGUCGAACGGUUACUACUUGCAGAGAAAGAGCUAAGAAAAACCGAAGACACCAACCAAUGAUUCUAACACUGAAAAUAAGGCAAGCAGAGAGU